rnacentral:rRNA from 1 species
GAUGAACGCUGGCGGCGUGCUUAACACAUGCAAGUCGAACGGAAAGGCCCAAGCUUGCUUGGGUGCUCGAGUGGCGAACGGGUGAGUAACACGUGGGUGAUCUGCCCUGCACUUUGGGAUAAGCCUGGGAAACUGGGUCUAAUACCGGAUAGGACCAUCGUUUAGUGUCGGUGGUGGAAAGUUUUUCGGUGUGGGAUGAGCUCGCGGCCUAUCAGCUUGUUGGUGGGGUAAUGGCCUACCAAGGCGUCGACGGGUAGCCGGCCUGAGAGGGUGUACGGCCACAUUGGGACUGAGAUACGGCCCAGACUCCUACGGGAGGCAGCAGUGGGGAAUAUUGCACAAUGGGCGCAAGCCUGGUGCAGCGACGCCGCGUGGGGGAUGACGGCCUUCGGGUUGUAAACUCCUUUCGCCAAGGACGAAGCGUUUUGUGACGGUACUUGGAGAAGAAGCACCGGCUAACUACGUG